rnacentral:misc_RNA from 1 species
AAGUCGUAACAAGGUUUCCGUAGGUGAACCUGCGGAAGGAUCAUUAAAGAAUUAGGCUUCGCGGCAGUUCUCAUCCCUUUGUCAUUACCGAAACCCAUGGAUUCGCAUUUGGGCAUGGGCCCCCUUUGGCAAGUUUCCCUGCCGGGUUCCCUGGGCCCUAGCAGGUUGAUUAAAUCCACUAGAAUCUCUGCUGUCUGAGUACUAUACAAUAGUUAAAA